UCUUUGCUUUUCAGAGCUUAUAAGGAGCAGGCAUCUGAAGCUGCACUCUGAAGCUGUAAGUGGUAACUGACAUUUUAAGUGACAUUUUAAGUAAUAGAAGGUGUUUUUCUGUUUUUCUGCAAAGGGAUUACUCUUUAGGAAGAUGAAAGAGAAACCAUACUUUGCAUGAACAUAGUCCUGCUUCUUUGGCAAAACAAGGCUUUCAUUCUAUUUUCCAGCUAUUCCAGAGAUGUUCCUGAACAAGUUACCUGUUGGUGAAAGCUUCAAAAGGAAUACUUAAGUGACCAAUCCCAUUCAUACUGUGGGCCGGGAGAGGAAAAUCAAUAUCUGUUGGAGAAUCUGAAGAGCCAAAUCUCCUGAGCCUAGGCCUACUGCUGUCAGCAUCUCUGAGACCUCUCUCACCUGAG
rnacentral:sRNA from 1 species